rnacentral:rRNA from 1 species
UACGUAGGGUGCGAGCGUAAUCGGAAUUACUGGGCGUAAAGCGUGCGCAGGCGGUCUGUUAAGACCGAUGUGAAAUCCCCGGGCUUAACCUGGGAACUGGCAUUGGUGACUGGCAGGCUUUGAGUGUGGCAGAGGGAGGUAGAAUUCCACGUGUAGCAGUGAAAUGCGUAGAGAUGUGGAGGAAUACCGAUGGCGAAGGCAGCCUCCUGGGCCAACACUGACGCUCAUGCACGAAAGCGUGGGGAGCAAACAGG